rnacentral:lncRNA from 1 species
CAUUUGUUCUACCAAAUGAUACUAUCAAAUCAGGGUUUUAGUAAAAUUAUGAUUUUGCCCCUGAAGAGCAUAAAGACUUUUUCAAUUAAAAAUAUUUGUAUCCCUUCAAUUUGCUUUGUAAUCAUCAAAAUCAAUCUAGGAGCAACAAUCUCCCCCUUUUUGAUGAUGACAAAACACUUGAACAAAAGCAUUUAUGUGAAUGCAUUAUAGAUUUAUAUGCUUGAAAAGAGUAUGAUUCUUUUGGCAUGUGAUAUAAAUGGUCAUAUACAAAAAUAGUUUGUCCAUUUUCUUAAAGAUUUGAAGAUAUGCUCAUUGGAUUAUGUAAUUUUGGUGUUAGAGCAGAAAACUUAUUUUUGUUAUCAGAGCAAGCUGUAUUUUGAAAAUUUGCUCAUUCUCAUUUGAUUUUAGUUUUAGC